rnacentral:rRNA from 1 species
GUCGAGGGGCAGCAUGAACUUAGCUUGCUGAGUUUGAUGGCGACCGGCGCACGGGUGAGUAACACGUAUCCAACCUGCCGAUGACUCGGGGAUAGCCUUUCGAAAGAAAGAUUAAUACCCGAUGGCAUAGUUCUUCCGCAUGGUAGAACUAUUAAAGAAUUUCGGUCAUCGAUGGGGAUGCGUUCCAUUAGGUUGUUGGCGGGGUAACGGCCCACCAAGCCUUCGAUGGAUAGGGGUUCUGAGAGGAAGGUCCCCCACAUUGGAACUGAGACACGGUCCAAACUCCUACGGGAGGCAGCAGUGAGGAAUAUUGGUCAAUGGACGAGAGUCUGAACCAGCCAAGUAGCGUGAAGGAUGACUGCCCUAUGGGUUGUAAACUUCUUUUAUACGGGAAUAAAGUGAGGCACGUGUGCCUUUUUGUAUGUACCGUAUGAAUAAGGAUCGGCU